AUUGAACGCUGGCGGCAGGCCUAACACAUGCAAGUCGAGCGGAUGAAGGGAGCUUGCUCCUGGAUUCAGCGGCGGACGGGUGAGUGAUGCCUAGGAAUCUGCCUGGUAGUGGGGGAUAACGUCCGGAAACGGGCGCUAAUACCGCAUACGUCCUGAGGGAGAAAGUGGGGGAUCUUCGGACCUCACGCUAUCAGAUGAGCCUAGGUCGGAUUAGCUAGUUGGUGGGGUAAAGGCCUACCAAGGCGACGAUCCGUAACUGGUCUGAGAGGAUGAUCAGUCACACUGGAACUGAGACACGGUCCAGACUCCUACGGGGGGCAGCAGUGGGGAAUAUUGGACAAUGGGCGAAAGCCUGAUCCAGCCAUGCCGCGUGUGUGAAGAAGGUCUUCGGAUUGUAAAGCACUUUAAGUUGGGAGGAAGGGCAGUAAGUUAAUACCUUGCUGUUUUGACGUUACCAACAGAAUAAGCACCGGCUAACUUCGUG
rnacentral:rRNA from 1 species